GUGAACGUUACCAAACUGUUGCCUCGGCGGGGUCACGCCCCGGGUGCGUCGCAGCCCCGGAACCAGGCGCCCGCCGGAGGAACCAACCAAACUCUUUCUGUAGUCCCCUCGCGGACGUAUUUCUUACAGCUCUGAGCAAAAAUUCAAAAUGAAUCAAAACUUUCAACAACGGAUCUCUUGGUUCUGGCAUCGAUGAAGAACGCAGCGAAAUGCGAUAAGUAAUGUGAAUUGCAGAAUUCAGUGAAUCAUCGAAUCUUUGAACGCACAUUGCGCCCGCCAGUAUUCUGGCGGGCAUGCCUGUCCGAGCGUCAUUUCAACCCUCGAACCCCUCCGGGGGAUCGGCGUUGGGGAUCGGGACCCCUCACACGGGUGCCGGCCCCGAAAUACAGUGGCGGUCUCGCCGCAGCCUCUCCUGCGCAGUAGUUUGCACAACUCGCACCGGGAGCGCGGCGCGUCCACGUCCGUAAAACACCCAACUUUCUGAAAUGUUGACCUCGGAUCAGGUAGGAAUACCCGCUGAACUUAAGCAUAUCAAUAAGCCGGAGG
rnacentral:rRNA from 1 species